rnacentral:tRNA from 1 species
UAGCACAGUGGUUAGUGCAGUCUGCCGGAAACAGAAAGACGCGGGUUCAAUUCCCGC